GCCGGGCAUGGUGGUGCGCACCUGUAGUCCCAGCUACUCAGGAGGCUGAGGCAGGGGAAUCACUUGAACCCAGGAGGUGGAGGUUGCAGUGGGCUGAGAUCAUGCCUCUGCACUCCAGCCUGGGUGACAGAGUGAGACCCUGUCUCAA
rnacentral:SRP_RNA from 1 species